GGCUGGGGGGAUUUUGGGGAUUUUUGGGGAUUUUUGGGGUCUUUAGGGGAUUUUUGGGGUCUCUGGGGGGGAUUUUGGGGGUCUUCAGGGGCAUUUUGGGGGAUUUUUUGGUGGGUCUUUCAGGGGUUUUGGGGGCUGUGAUUGGGGUUUCUAGGAGGAUUUUUGGGGUCUGGGGGGUUUUGGGAUUUUUUUGGGAAUCCCUGGGAUUUCUAUGGGAUAUUUUUGGGAUCUCUGUGGGAUUUUUAGGAUUUCUAUGGGGUUAUUUAUUGGGAUCUCUGGGAUUUUUUAGGAUUUUUUUGGGAGAUCUCUGUGGGAUUUUUUUUUUUGGGAUCUCUGGGAUUUUGGGGAUCUCUGUGGCAUUUUUUGGGGACCUCUCUGGGAUUCUGGGGCUCUCUGUGGGAUUUUUAUGGGAUUCUUUUUGGGGGCCCCUGUGGGACUUUUGGGAUCUCUGGGAUUAUUUUUUGGGAUCUAAGUGGGAUUUCUAUGGGAUUCUUUUUGGGGGUCCCUGUGGGACUUUUGGGAUCUCCGGAAUUUUUUUGGGGCUCUCUUUGGGAUUUCUAUGGGAUUCUUUUUGGGGGGUCUCUGUGAGACUUUUGGGAUUUCUAUGGGAUUGUUUUUUGGGCUCUCUGUGGGAUUUCUAUGGGAUUCUUUUUGGGGAUUUCUCUGGGAUUUUGGGGAUCUGUGUGGGGAUUUUUUGGGACAUUUCUAUGGGGUUUUUGGGGUCCCUGCUCCCCCUGACCCCGUUCCCCCCCCCAGCACAUCACGGUGGUCGUGGGGCGCCCGUUCAGCGCCCGGCCCCUCCUGGAGCGGCUGCGCAGCGAGGGGACCCCCACGGUGGAGCUCCGCAAGGCCCUGACCGAUUUUGUCCAGAGGGAAUUCGAGGCGCUGCGGGGCCACGCCCGGACCCUGCACCCCACCCCACAGCGGGGUCCCCCUGCCCCACAGCCGGGGGGUUCUGCCCCAUA
rnacentral:lncRNA from 1 species